rnacentral:rRNA from 1 species
CCCGGUAAACGGCGGCCGUAACUAUAACGGUCCUAAGGUAGCGAAAUUCCUUGUCGGGUAAGUUCCGACCUGCACGAAUGGCGUAAUGAUGGCCAGGCUGUCUCCACCCGAGACUCAGUGAAAUUGAACUCGCUGUGAAGAUGCAGUGUACCCGCGGCAAGACGGAAAGACCCCGUGAACCUUUACUAUAGCUUGACACUGAACAUUGAGCCUUGAUGUGUAGGAUAGGUGGGAGGCUUUGAAGUGUGGACGCCAGUCUGCAUGGAGCCGACCUUGAAAUACCACCCUUUAAUGUUUGAUGUUCUAACGUUGGCCCGUAAUCCGGGUUGCGGACAGUGUCUGGUGGGUAGUUUGACUGGGGCGGUCUCCUCCUAAAGAGUAACGGAGGAGCACGAAGGUUGGCUAAUCCUGGUCGGACAUCAGGAGGUUAGUGCAAUGGCAUAAGCCAGCUUGACUGCGAGCGUGACGGCGCGAGCAGGUGCGAAAGCAGGUCAUAGUGAUCCGGUGGUUCUGAAUGGAAGGGCCAUCGCUCAACGGAUAAAAGGUACUCCGGGGAUAACAGGCUGAUACCGCCCAAGAGUUCAUAUCGACGGCGGUGUUUGGCACCUCGAUGUCGGCUCAUCACAUCCUGGGGCUGAAGUAGGUCCCAAGGGUAUGGCUGUUCGCCAUUUAAAGUGGUACGCGAGCUGGGUUUAGAACGUCGUGAGACAGUUCGGUCCCUAUCUGCCGUGGGCGCUGGAGAACUGAGGGGGGCUGCUCCUAGUACGAGAGGACCGGAGUGGACGCAUCACUGGUGUUCGGGUUGUCAUGCCAAUGGCACUGCCCGGUAGCUAAAUGCGGAAGAGAUAAGUGCUGAAAGCAUCUAAGCACGAAACUUGCCCCGAGAUG